UGAGGAAUAUUGGGCAAUGCCCGCAAGGGUGACCCAGCAACGCCGCGUGGAGGAUGAAUGUCGUAAGAUUGUAAACUCCUGUUAGAGGGGAAGAAUAGUACCGGUUGGACCGGUAUAUGACUGUACCCUCAGAGAAAGCCCCGGCUAACUACGUGCCAGCAGCCGCGGUAAUACGUAGGGGGCAAGCGUUGUCCGGAUUUACUGGGUGUAAAGGGCGCGCAGGCGGGAUAAAAAGUCAGUGGUGAAAUCCUACAGCUUAACUGUAGAACUGCCUUCGAUACUUUUAUUCUUGAGUUCGGGAGAGAGAGACGGAAUUCCAGGUGUAGUGGUGAAAUACGUAGAUAUCUGGAAGAACACCAGUUGCGAAGGCGGUCUCUUGGUCCGAUACUGACGCUGAGGCGCGAAAGCGUGGGGAGCAAACA
rnacentral:rRNA from 1 species